rnacentral:rRNA from 1 species
CUCCUUUGACGUUAGCGGCGGACGGGUGAGUAACACGUGGGUAACCUACCUAUAAGACUGGGAUAACUUCGGGAAACCGGAGCUAAUACCGGAUAAUAUUUCGAACCGCGUGGUUCGAUAGUGAAAGAUGUUUUGCUAUCACUUAUAGAUGGACCCGCGCCGUAUUAGCUAGUUGGUAAGGUAACGGCUUACCAAGGCGACGAUACGUAGCCGACCUGGGAGGGUGAUCGGCCACACUGGAACUGAGACACGGUCCAGACUCCUACGGGAGGCAGCAGCC